rnacentral:tRNA from 2 species
GCCUCGCUAACUCAGUUGGUAGAGUGUGAGACUUUUAGUUUCCGCCUUGGUUGUAAAAAUCUCACGGUCGAGGGUUCGAGCCCCUCGCGAGGCU